GAGCGGCGAACGGGUGAGUAACACGUGAGUAACCUGCCCCAAACUUUGGGAUAACCCUCGGAAACGGGGGCUAAUACCGGAUACGACACACUGACGCAUGUUGUGUGUGUGGAAAGUUUUUCGGUUUGGGAUGGGCUCGCGGCCUAUCAGCUUGUUGGUGGGGUGAUGGCCUACCAAGGCGACGACGGGUAGCCGGCCUGAGAGGGCGACCGGCCACACUGGGACUGAGACACGGCCCAGACUCCUACGGGAGGCAGCAGUGGGGAAUAUUGCACAAUGGGCGGAAGCCUGAUGCAGCGACGCCGCGUGAGGGAUGACGGCCUUCGGGUUGUAAACCUCUUUCAGCAGGGACGAAGCGCAAGUGACGGUACCUGCAGAAGAAGCGCCGGCCAACUACGUGCCAGCAGCCGCGGUAAGACGUAGGGCGCGAGCGUUGUCCGGAUUUAUUGGGCGUAAAGAGCUCGUAGGCGGCUUGUCGCGUCGUCCGUGAAAACCUGCAGCUCAACUGCAGGCUUGCGGGCGAUACGGGCAGGCUAGAGUUCGGUAGGGGAGACUGGAAUUCCU
rnacentral:rRNA from 1 species